AAGGAUCAUUACAGUAUUCUUUUUGCCAGCGCUUAACUGCGCGGCGAAAAAACCUUACACACAUUGUUUUUGUUUUUCAUAGAACAUUGCUUUGGCUUGUCUCUAGAAAUAGAGUUGGGCCAAAGGUUUAACUAAACUUCAAUUUAUUUUGAAUCAUUUUUAUUAUUAAGUCAAAUUAUUUGAUUAACUUCAAAAAAAUUUUUAAAACUUUCAACAACGGAUCUCUUGGUUCUCGCAUCGAUGAAGAACGCAGCGAAAUGCGAUAAGUAAUAUGAAUUGCAGAUUUUCGUGAAUCAUCGAAUCUUUGAACGCACAUUGCGCCCUCUGGUAUUCCAGAGGGCAUGCCUGUUUGAGCGUCAUUUCUCUCUCAAACCUUCGGGUUUGGUAUUGAGUGAUACUCUUAGUCGAACUAGGCGUUUGCUUGAAAAUUAUUGGCAUGAGUGGUACUAGAUAGUACUUCAGAUUUUUUCAAUGUAUUAGGUUUAUCCAACUCGUUGAAUAGUCUGGUGUAAUUUGUUUAGUAACAUUGGCUCGGCCUUAUAACAACAAACAAGUUUGACCUCAAAUCAGGUAGGAUUACCCGCUGAACUUAA
rnacentral:rRNA from 1 species